AAACCAAUUAAAAUCGGCCAAAACUAGGAUAAAACUUACAAUGCCGAGGCAAACUGCGCAGUGGACGGCAGAGCAGCACUGGAGCAUGGUGGCACAGCCAUGCCGGAAUCCAUAAAAUUUGCUGGAAUGAGUUUUGGACACUGAUUUUGGAUUUUUGAGGUAUUUUUAGGUGUGUGACGAGUGUUUUGAAUUCAAGGAACCCAGUACCCGUUAAGAGGCAU
rnacentral:lncRNA from 1 species